rnacentral:lncRNA from 1 species
GUGAAUCCAUCUGGUCCUGGACUUUUUUUGGUUGGGGAGCCUUAGCAUCAUCAAAUCUAAAAUUCCAACAUACUGCUCCAUAUGCUGUUGAAGAAGGGAGCCAACAAAAAUUGUUUUUUCUACCUGUUGACGUGUCAAGCACUAACUGUGGGUACUCAUUUAUUUUAUUCUUUUGUAAAUCACAGCCACCAUUCAUUAUUUACUAGGUUAAGAUGAAUAGACACUGAAUCAAAGUUAUUCAUCAACAAAAAAGAACAGUUACUAAUGGAAAGUUAUUAAAAUAAGUUCUAUAAGAGUACAAUUUUGAGGUUUAUUUUUUGUAUUUUUAUUAUUUGUGCGAAGAACCAUUAUUGAGUUUGCAAGAUAAGAUGUAUUUGUAUUUUCUAGUGUCUUUUUAUUUAUAACAACACUUUUUUGGCAAUCAGUUUGUAGCUGUGCCCUUAUUUUUAUAGAUAGUUUGCCAUUUCUUGGGUUUAAUGUUUAACAAGGCUAUAGAAGUUUAAAAUAGUGGACAAAUGUUUGUGAAUACACUUUUAAAAAAUUGUUUUAAAAGAGAAAAGCGGUCUUGCUUUGUUGCCCAGACUGGAGUGCAGUGGCAUAAUCAUAGCUCACCGCAAGCCUCAAAUUUUUGUGCUCAGAUGAUCCUUUUCAUCUCAGCCUCCUGAUUAGCUGGGACUAUAGGCGUGUGCCACCAUGCCCAGCUAAUUUUGAAAUUUGCUUGUAGAGAUGGGAUCUCACUCUGUUGUCCAGGCUGGUCUCAGAAUUCUGGUGAGUGAUCCUCCCACAGUGGACUUCCAAAGUGCUGGGAUUACAGGUGUGAGCCACCAUGCCUGGCCCCAUGAAUACACUACUAAUAUUAUUUGUAAAUAUGUAUUUUAUAAUGUACAAUGCUUGGAAAAUUUUCAGAGUAUUCUAGUUUAAAAAAUUUUUUCUAAUUCUGUAAAUUCUAUUACAAGUAUGUUGUUUAUUACAACUCAUUACAACUACCUAAAUUUUAGGUGUUAACUGUAUUUAAGUAAAUGUGUUAUUUUUG